AUCUUAAGAACAAAGAAGAAUCGCAAAGAGAAAAUCGAAGAAUCUAGCGAGUACAAAACCUGGAGGAGGUAUGGUUUCCACCCACGAGGAGAACUAUAGAUAUUUGUGAUCCAAACCAGACCCUUCUUGGAACCCUAAUCGACUUCACCUCCGUCCCCAUUCUCACCGUUCGAUCCACCAUGCAGAAAAAAAAGAAACAAA